GUGACAAAACGGUGAAAACCUGAGGCCAGGUCGUUGCUGUCAGAUGGGGACGGAGUCCUGCAGCAGUCAGAGGUGACAGAACACACUGAUGCUGCUACCAGGAAGCUCGAGAGAAAUGUGACUGAGUGAUACAGUGCGCAUGUGCCUAUGGAGAAAGGAGGCUAUCUGUGAGCUCUAGCAGUGCUUUUCUCUGCCCAGCAACAUCUCUGCUUCUUUCCUACGUUCUGCUUAAGCAGCUGUUCUGCAUUUAUGAUCUGAUCUGCACGCUGAGUCAACGUCGCUGUAACGACAUGGAUGGAGGGCAGAGGUCCGCAGGUUUGCUUUGAGGAAGCCCCAUAAACAGGGCAGAUGUUUCUGAUGGCGAUGCCGGAGCCAGCAGAACCCCUGCAGCAGUGCAGCCCCAUGGUGCUGGAGGCCCUUCCAGACUGGAGGUGUGGCGGUGGUCUGCAUGUCAGCAGAGCAGUCCCAGCAGCGUUCAGCAUGGAUGAGCCUGGUGCAGCACAUCACAGCUCAGAUGGGUUCUCCCAGGCGGCUGUGCAGCACAGAGCUAAUACAUGGAAUACAGGUGCUCGUGGACUCGUUCUGCACCGACCUGCCAGUCUGCAGGCCCCAAAAAUACAGGCACGGCCCAAAGGUUUCUAUUCAGGGCUCAGCAGUGGAAUAAGGAACAUGAGCCGUGGGAUAUCCCGUGUCACCGCAGGCUGCUCAGCCUGGAAGGGGCUGGUGGCAAAGGGAGGAAACGUCAGAAACGCCAUGGACUAUUUUAGAUCUGCAACCUCAGUUCUGCAAAGGACAGCCUGCUGAUGUGCCACGCUCAGCGAGCAGCGGGGAGGAACCCCACGGCAGGAAGAGAGACAGCCCUCUGCCCUUUGCGUUUCGAUUCCCGGUGUCUGUGUGUGUGGAGGUGAUUUGUCCAUAAUUGUUUGCUUUCUCCGGAGUCCUUUGAAGCGUCUGUCUCCCAACCGGUCCCCUCUUAAGAAUAAAUGCUUCCAAGCCACCAAUAACACGUGGGCCAUGAUUACAGCCCGGCUCCUCGCUGAGGGCCGUGAGGUCACCGAGGCAGCGCAGUGGGAACGGUUUUGCCUUCUGUGUGUGGGGUUGGGCAGAAGGACCCCCUGUGCUGCAGUGAGGGGCGGGGAGGGCUCUGUGUGGUGCUGGGGGGGCUCUCCGGGCACCGCGGCCUUUUCUUUUUGCUUUAUUGCCAUACCGAGUAUUUAUAUGGGGGCAGGAAGCGGUGUUUAAGGACGGUCUGUGCGCUCUGUGUGCCCCUUUGGAGGGCGUUACGAUGGGCUUUAAUUCCCUCAGCCCGUUUUCUUGCCCUUCUUGCCUCCUGUCUGCUGCAGGAGGUAAAGCCUCGCUGCGCACUGCCCGCGUGGGGCUCUCCAUCCCACCAGCCAAAACGUGGGCUCUCUGUUGGGUCUCUCCAUCCCAAGUGUGUCCCUCUGGGACUCCCCACCCCUCCGCCCUGC
rnacentral:lncRNA from 1 species